rnacentral:rRNA from 1 species
UACGGAGGGUGCGAGCGUUGUCCGGAAUCACUGGGCGUAAAGGGCGCGUAGGCGGCGCGGAUAGUCGGCGGUGAAAGCCCGGAGCUCAACUCCGGGUCGGCCGUCGAUACUUCCGGGCUUGAGCACUGUAGAGGCAGAUGGAAUUCCGGGUGUAGCGGUGGAAUGCGUAGAGAUCCGGAAGAACACCGGUGGCGAAGGCGGUCUGCUGGGCGAGUUGCU